ensembl:lncRNA
UGCAGCACUGUUUGAGUGACUAUAUUGUAGACUUUCUGUUGGUCUAUUUGGAUAAUGUCAUUGUAUAUUCCAUAGAUUUUUACACCCAUCUUCAUCAUUUGGAGCGAGUAUUCCAGCGGCUGGCACAGUAUGGACUGAAGUUGAGGCUGGACAAGUGUCAGUUCCUUCAGCAACAAGUGAAAUCCCUGGGGCAUGUAGUGGACAAGACCGGCAUCAGCCCAGAUCCUAGUAAAACCGUGACAGUACAAGAGUGGCCUGUUCCAACCACAGUUCGAGAGGUUCCCAGUAGAUCGAAUGGCUCCUAUUGAGAUACGACGAGUUGAGGCAACAGAAGAUGCCUGUCAGCCAGUAACUGACCUCCCAGAUGUUGAAGAGUGGCGUAAGAGCCAAGGUGAAGAUGAGGAACUUCAACAGGUAUGGAAGUAUGUGGAGUCAAGUAGUGUACCUUCGACCAUGGAGCGAGCCAAUAUGUCUCUAACGGUGAAACAACUACUUCGACAGAGCGUUAAGCUUGUGAUUCAAGAUGGUGUUUUGUAUAAGAGAAUGAUUGACCCCAGUACCCAUGAGUUGCAUCUACAGAUUAUCUGUCCGGCAUCUAGACGUGAGGAAGUAUGGCGACGAUACCAUGAUGUGUCUGCACAUGCAGGAGUUUCACGGACACUUUCGAGGGUCAGACACAACAUUUUCUGGCCGAAGAUGGAGGAGAUUGUCAAGGGGUACCACCUGGGUUGUGUCGCUUGUGGCCUACAGAAAGAAAACCGUGAGUCGAAGUGUUGUGAAGACGCCGACGUAGAGCAAUCACGGGCGCAGCUCUUGGAGACGAGCGAGUCAGCGCAUGUUCGGAGUCGAGUGCAUCAGUUGGUUGGGGAGCACGACGGUGACUAGCAGAGUAACCACGUUUGUACAACUGUUUGGAGACAAGCAAUUCAGUGAGUGCUGUUCGGGGACGAGUGAGACGGCGACGGAGGGUUUGUGCAACGCUGGAAAUUGACUAGACUGGGUAGUGGGUACUGCUACCCAGUCAUAUUGUGAGUACAACCCCAGUUGAAGAUCGUUUGAUGGAUGUUAUUGUGACCAUUUUUUGCAUCUAAUUCCUAAUUAAUAGAGACUAAGAACUAAUUGCCAGUAUACUAGCCAUAGCUCUUAGUUUUCCUUUUUGUAGUGGUGUGACUUAUUUGGUUGCAGUGUAUAUUGGUUGGUGUGGGUAUUUGUGUGCACAAGUGAGAGUGGUAGUAGGCUACGUUAGCUUUUGCUGACAUUGGACUGGAGAUACUGGUAGUUGUUUCUUAUUCCUCUCUAGUACACUACUGGCUGGAUCUGUGGAGACCUGCAUGUGGUGGGACCAACCCAGGAC